GGAAAUUGAAUGCGGCCCGAAUGGUGGGACCCACAACCUUCAACUUUCUUCCCAACGAAGUAGUCGGUGUUACUUUUCUAUCAAAUGUCUAGACAACUUCGCAACUUCUCCUAGGAGGUCAUUACAGAAAGAAUCUCUCCAUCUACCCAAAUAUAUAUACCCACAACCCCGCUCCCUUUUUCAUCAAACCCAAUCCCUCACCCACCUCUCUCGUCUAUGUCAAAGAAGAAAAACUGCCCCUCCCUCUCUUCUCUGGUGAAGAAGAAAAACUGCCCCUCAUCGGUUGAUGAUCCUGCCGAUCCUUUCUCUGUCAACAAGAACAGUAAACACCUCUCAUCUCUUUCAAUCUCAAACCUCCUGAACUCGUCUCAAAUCAGGUAGCGAAAGAAGAACAAUGGAGGCCUCGAGCCUUUCUUCCCUGUUUUAGGAAGAGGAAUGAAUUACAACAUCCCAUCUGUUAUGGCAAAUUCAGUCAUGGGGUGUUGUGGACACUGGAAGUUGGAUACAACUUCCAUCCAACCAAUGAAGAAUUAAAUAAUUAUUUAUAAUUAUUUAAUUCUUCAUUAAUAAGAAAAGAUGGAAUCCAUCCGACCAAUGAAGAAUUAAACAAUUAAUUGUAAUCUUGUAAUAAUUGAAGGCUUAGUUAUUGUUGUAGAAUAAAUAUUGAUGCUGUAAUCUACCAGUUGACCUAUCUUGCUUUAUAUAUACUACAUUACACUGUUAAGUAACUUAUAAUUUUAGUGGAUUCUGUCACCGUAACAUUUGCUUAAUUUUUCUUUUCAAAAA